GAUGAACGCUGGCGGCGUGCCUAAUACAUGCAAGUCGAGCGAACAGACGGAGGUGCUUGCACCUCCUGACGUUAGCGGCGGACGGGUGAGUAACACGUGGGUAACCUACCUAUAAGACUGGGAUAACUUCGGGAAACCGGAGCUAAUACCGGAUAAUAUUUAGCUUCGCAUGAAGCAAUAGUGAAAGACGGUUUUGCUGUCACUUAUAGAUGGACCCGCGGUGUAUUAGCUAGUUGGUGAGGUAACGGCUCACCAAGGCAACGAUACAUAGCCGACCUGCGAGGUGGAUCGGCCACACUGGGAAUGAGACACGGCCCAGACUCCUACGGGAGGCAGCAGGAGGGAAUCUUCCGCAAUGGACGAAAGUCUGACGGAGCAACGCCGCGUGAGUGAGGAAGGUUUUCGGAUCGUAAAACUCUGUUGUAAGGGAAGAACAAGUACGUUAGUAACUGAACGUACCUUGACGGUACCUUACCAGAAAGCCACGGCUAACUACGUGCCAGCCGCCGCAGUAACAC
rnacentral:rRNA from 1 species